rnacentral:lncRNA from 1 species
ACCAAUUUAGGAGUGGAGUGCCUUCUGUGUAAUAAAAAGUUUCUGGUCAAGGUGUGGACUGUUGAUAGAAGUUGAGUCUCACUUUUGGCAUUUCUCUAUCAGAUGACAUCUAUCAAUGGAAACCGGGAACUAGGAGUAUAACACUCGCUGUAUUUUCGCAAUUGCUGUGAUUCUCUAAGAUUCUCAACUUUCCGGCCUCAAUUUAUCAAACAAUGAGGAUCGGUUUGUGCUUCAGUCUAAGGCAAUGAGAAUGAGCAAAGGGUGACAAGUUGUUGGCGUCGCAAAAUGCAGAGAGCCAUCAGAGAUUCAGAAAGGUUUAGGUAUGCAAGGGAUACAUCAUUCGAAAAGAGUCAUUUGCAUUACAAUUUUUCAGGUCAGUUACUAUGAGUACCUGACUCUGAGGCAUGGUUUUAUCUCUGCAGAUUUAGCACUUGAGAUCAUUUAUUCUCAUGCUAAUGGGUGAGAGAAGAGGAUUUGGCAAAGGACUGGAAACUGCGCUUGAAGCAUCUUCGUACGUUGUACUUUAUGAUUUUCUGAGGAGGUGAAAUUGGUCACCCGAGACCAUAGGAAGAAGGCAUAGAUAGACGGAGAGAUAUGAAGCUCAUUUAUGGAACAAAGGGUCUUGGAAUCCAACACAAAGGAAGAAGGGAAAACAGGGGCUUAUGACAAAGAAGAAUCCACAACAAAAGCAUAUGAGUUGGCAGCACUCAAGUAGUGGGGAACAUCAACUUUUACAAAUUUUCUGGUGUCGGAUUAUGAGAAUGAAAUUGAUCUGUUGAACACUAACAAAAAGAAGAGUACUUGGCCUUUCUAAGAAGCUAAUUAUUCAUCUUCAAAUUAAUAAGCAGUUGAGCAGCCUACUUUAACUGUUGUAAAAAUUUCAAGAGAUGAAUUUGAUCUAUCUAUUUACUAAUUA